rnacentral:rRNA from 1 species
UUGGGUUAAGUCCCGCAACGAGCGCAACCCCUAUCUUAUGUUGCCACCACUUUGGGUGGGAACUCAUGAGAGACUGCCGCAGACAAAGCGGAGGAAGGCGGGGAUGACGUCAAAUCAUCAUGCCCCUUAUGACCUGGGCUACACACGUACUACAAUGGGAGUUAAUAGACGGAAGCGAGAUCGCGAGAUGGAGCAAACCCGAGAAACACUCUCUCAGUUCGGAUCGUAGGCUGCAACUCGCCUACGGAAGUCGGAAUC